rnacentral:misc_RNA from 1 species
GCCGACGGAUAAUGCGGCGAGGUUUUAUCGAUGGUUUACUGAGGGGAAGGAGGGGGAGAAUUGGCUAGGGAAUCUUAAGUUUGCUGUUUUUGGGCUGGGCAACCGGCAGUACGAGCAUUUUAACAAGGUUGCGAAGGAAGUUGACGAGAUCCUAGUUAAUCUCGGUGGGAAGCGCCUUGCCCCAGUCGGUCUUGGAGAUGAUGAUCAGUGUAUUGAAGAUGAUUUUACGGCCUGGAAAGAGCUGGUGUGGCCAGAACUCGAUCAAUUACUCCGGGAUGAAGAUGCUACAUCAGGUGCAACAACGCCUUACACUGCUGCUAUCCCUGAAUACCGCGUUGUAUUUGUCGACCCGGAAGAUGCAUUACAUCUAGAGAAGGAUUUUAUCCUUGCAAAUGGCCAUGCUGUUCACGAUGCUCAACAUCCAUGCAGGG